rnacentral:rRNA from 1 species
CCUACGGGAGGCUGCAGUGGGGGAUAUUGCACAAUGGGGGAAACCCUGAUGCAGCGACGCCGCGUGUGGGAAGACGGUCCUCUGGAUUGUAAACCACUGUCCCCAGGGACGAAGAUGACGGUACCUGGGGAGGAAGCUCCGGCUAACUACGUGCCAGAAGCCGCGGUAAUACGUAGGGAGCGAGCGUUGUCCGGAAUUACUGGGUGUAAGGGGAGCGUAGGCGGGUCUGCAAGUUGGGGGUAAAAUCUACCGGCUCAACCGGUAGCCGCACUCAAAACUGCAGUUCUUGAGUGAAGUAGAGGCAGGCGGAAUUCGUAGUGUAGCGGUGAAAUGCGUAGAUAUUAGGAGGAACACCAGUGGCGAAGGCGGCCUGCUGAGCUUUUACUGACGCUGAGGCUCGAAAGUGUGGAGAGCAAACAGGAUUAGAUACCCUAGUAGUC